CCAUUCCAGCUAGAAAGAACCCAGGGACCUGCAGGAAAUCUUCCCUCUGAGCCAGAGUAGAGCAACUCUCAAUGCAGCUUCUUGCUUGGCCUCCAAAGCUGUCCUGUUCUCUCUGCCACCCCUGAUGUUCAUCUCCUCAGACUUUAUCCCCCAGAUCAUGAACUCAGCUUCACUAGCUGGACUGAAUGUACCCAUCUGCCUUGACCUGCUUUGUGAACUGCCCUGAGAGAUGAUUGUUCUCAGAUCUGCAGACCACAGCUCAAAGCAUGGACACGUAGAUGCUGAAAGGAAAUAGAACGCAGGUUGUAUCCAAAACCUAACCACUAUCCAUAUUCAGCAAGAAAACACAUUUUCCCACCAUUCUUGCAGUAUGGGUAAAUGUGAUAAAACCACCCAUAUUUCCCCUCCUCCUCUAAGAGAAGAAUCUGUAGCUGUUCUUCAGAAAGGACUCAGAAGAUGGGAAUGUUAGAGUUUCAAUCAUCAUAAUAUUUGUACAGUGUGAAAAAAGAUGUCAGAUGACUGCUAGGAUUAUCUGCUUUGAAGAGAUUUAUUAAAUUGG